ACGAACGCUGGCGGCGUGCUUAACACAUGCAAGUCGAACGGUGAUCCCCUUUCGGGGGGUGAUCAGUGGCGAACGGGUGAGUAACACGUGAGCAACCUGCCCCUGGCUCUGGGACAACCACUGGAAACGGUGGCUAAUACCGGAUACGACUCACCUCGGCAUCGAGUGUGGGUGGAAAGUUUUUCGGCUGGGGAUGGGCUCGCGGCCUAUCAGCUUGUUGGUGGGGUAAUGGCCUACCAAGGCGACGACGGGUAGCCGGCCUGAGAGGGCGACCGGCCACACUGGGACUGAGACACGGCCCAGACUCCUACGGGAGGCAGCAGUGGGGAAUAUUGCACAAUGGGCGAAAGCCUGAUGCAGCGACGCCGCGUGAGGGAUGACGGCCUUCGGGUUGUAAACCUCUUUCAGCUCCGAAGAAGCGAAAGUGACGGUAGGAGCAGAAGAAGCACCGGCUAACUACGUGCCAGCAGCCGCCGUAAAAC
rnacentral:rRNA from 1 species